rnacentral:lncRNA from 1 species
CUCUCCUCAAGAGAAAUCAAAAAAGUAUAAAAAUUCGAUCAACAUCGAAAAAAAUUCACUGAAAAACAACUCAGAAAAACACUAAAAAAACACCACCUCAUUUAUUAUCUUUUUUCACUUAACCCUCCUCAUCUCUAAAACUCUACAAACUUAACCCCUUAUCAGAAUAAUUAGAGUAUUCUCUAUAUUUGAACUCAACUAUAUUUUAAUUUUAUAAAAUUUUGAUUUAGUAAAUUAUUCAACUAUUUUGCAUAAAAAGGGUUAAGUUACAUAAUAUUUAUUAACAAAAACACUUGCCCCAACCCCAAUGUGUCUUAAUACGGUAGGGUCGGGAAGGGAUAGGACAAAACCGAUAGGUAUGAGAGUGGGUAAGAAUCGUAAAUAAAUUUUAUAAGAUUUAAAAUCGGUAUAUAUGAGAGCGAGCUUACUUAAGUGUAUCUUUUUUAAGACAGAGAGUGUCCAUCUGAUAACAUCUCAUACCCGACUCAUUGUCAUCUCUAUCCUAACCAACAUAACUGAAACAUACCCCUUAUGAUUUUAAUGGAAACAUGCCCAUAUCUCUUUUCAUUUGACAGGACGCCUUAGUCUUCCAAUUUGGGUACCUCCAUCAAGCCAUAUAUCAAAACCCAUGUAUACAUAAAAAGCCAAUUGUAUAGCCUCUAAUUGCGUGAGUCUUGGAUCGUGGUACCAAUAUUAUUCACUAACAACCUGAAAAACUAAACUCCGAAGCCAAAACAUGAGUUGGAGAAAACGAUUCGAACUCACCCUUUCUUCUUCGUCCGCAUUGGAUGUGAAAUCUACCAAACUAUCAAGUGGUUAUUCAACAAAGUUACAUACUCAUCGUUGUCUGAUGGAGGUUGGAAUAUGGGGUUAAGCAGGUAUGGGUGGGAUUGGAAAAGAAUUUCCUAAGCAUGUUUGAGUUUGGGUUGUAGUCCUUCAUCCUAAACUCGACCUGAUGUCAUUCAUAAUAUUAAAUUAUUUUUUGAUAUUAUUUGAUCUGUUUCUAAAAAAGAAAUUCCUCAUAUUUAUAUUAAAAGUGGCGGUACACGAAUUGCGUGUGUAAGGGAAGGAAAUUUGACCCUAAAAUUAUCAUUAUUCUUGAAUAUAAAUAUGACUGAAAUGGAUGAAUUACUUGAUCGUAUGAAUUUUUGAUGUAAAAAUCUUACUUAAUCACAGCGAUCAUUAUGAAUGUCAAAACUAUUUUUUCCUAUCUAUGGUUGAAAGUUCAUUUGAGUUAAACUCAAACGUUUUGAGAUUUUAUUACCUGAGAUUAUUUUUUUUCUUUUCAAAAAAUAUAACUUGAUUUUCUCAAAGGUGUGGGACCCCACAUAAUUCUUAGUCAACGAACAAAAAUCUUUAAAUUUGGCAUAUUUUUUCAUAUUAAAGAGCAUUUUUUUUAGUGAGAACCCACCACAAAAAAAAACCUAAACAUAUCUUUCUUUCUUUCUCUUUUUUCAAACCUAGCAAAAAUUUUUCAAAUCAUUAUAGUUUUCUCAUUGAGCCUCUAUUUUGGAGCAAUGUAUAUCCUUUGUAUAGGCAGGCAGUAUCUCUUAUCUGACAUUUAUGUCUUAUAUCUUAUUUUGUUAUUAUAAACUUUAAUAAGUACGGCCAAAAGUAAUCUUUUAUUUUUUGCAUAGUGUCAUAUGCCAAACUAUUAUUAAUACCUUGAAUAGACAACCAAAUGCAAGCGGGGUCACCGAAAUCAAAAUUCUUAAUAUAAUCCUCGUAUAGACAUAUAUGCCUAUCUCCAAAGGUAAAUUGCUACGCUCCCCCUCCCUGAUAAGCGCCCCUCCCCUUCCCCCUCUUUUCCUCCCCUCUUUACUUUGAUAAUACCCUCCCCCCUAAAUUGUUUUCCACCCUUCUCCCUUACCAAUUAACCUUUAAAUUUUUAUUUUUCAGCUUUUUUUUUCAUUUUUAACUUUUUUUUUAGUUCAUUUUUUUUUUCCAUGACCUUUUUUUUAUGUAGUUUAAAUUUUUUUUUUUUUUAUUAAUAUUUUGUAUUAAUAUUUUAUUUAUAGUUUUGUUUAUUUUUUUAACAGUUUUGUUUAUUUUCAUCAAUUUUUUUUUAUAAUUUUUAACCUCUUAUUCCCUUAAUUACCACAAUCCUUGCAUAGUCAGAAUCUCCCCAGCCCUUUAUUAAUUAGCCCAUCAACCCGUGAAACAUGUCAAGACCCCCCCUCCCUUUAAAUUAUCUCCUCCCCCCUUGACACAUUUCAAAUCUCCCCCUUUCUCCCCUUCCCUUUAAAUACCCCUCACUAACCUUGACACAUGUCAGAACCCCCCCCAUCCCCUUUAAAUUACCCUACCCCCACCCCCUCCCACCCUUGACACUAUCAAAAACAUCUCUCUCCCUUUAAAUUAACCCUCCCUCCAACCCUUGUCACAAUUCAGACCUCCCCAUCCCUUUACAUUACCUACCCUUCCAACCCUUGACACCAUGUCAGAACAUCCCCUCCCUUAAAUUACCCUCCCCCAACCCUUGGCACAUGUCAGAACCUCCCCCUCCAUUGAAAUUACCCCACCCACCAAUCCCCACACCCACUUAAAUACUCUUCUCUUUCUUCUCACACUUUAUUUUUAAUCACAACCUUAUCAACUACUCGCCUCCCUCUCAUCCUCUCGUUCUCUCUUCCUAAAACAUAAAAUCUCUUCGUAGCCAUCCACUUCAUAUACAUUAUGGAUGACUACUUAAGUUCAUAUUCAUCAAUAGUUGGUCAUUUGAGAAUGAUGUUCAUAGUAGGGAGAUAUACCAACAUAGUCGCGAUUAAUACAAUUUUAAUUUAGCACAGCCAGGUUAGUUAUAUCGUUAUUUUAUGCAUAUCAUUAUUUAUUUUGUAAUAAUAAAUUAUAUUAAGACUGUUGCACUUAUAAAUUUUCGUUAAUAUUUUUGUUUACAUCUACUAUUUGAAACGUCGAGACGUUAUGAAAAUUGGGCGAAGACAGUUUGGUCUGGAGUAAUGGUAUUGGGGGUGAUUUUACAAAUUCUGCUAAUUUUAAAAGGCAGCAAGCCGGCCAAAGUCCAUAUUAUGUGUGAAAGAUGAGAAAAAGACAACCGCCCGAUAUCUGGUGAAUGACAAAUCGUAACAAAAAAAAAGAGACUGAAACUAUAAAAUGUGAAUGCCCAUUUCGAUCUGCGAGGUAAUUAGAUGGGAUGAUCCACAUAUACGAGAGCAUAUAUAGACCAAAGUUUUUUUGAUAUGUCGGAUCCAUCACAAAGUAAAAGUGCAGCCCCCCUACGUACAACCACGGAUAUAGAGGUCGACCUAUAGGCAGAGUAUGAGCAAAACGAUGUCCCAUAUACUUCCUUCUUUUGAAGAUUGCAUCCACUUCACUUCAUGAAUCUCGGAUCACCAAACGACUACAAAACGUCUCGAGGGAGGGGAGAUGUGGGAGGAGGUCUUGGUUUUCGCAACCACCUAUCCGAUGAUACUUCCUUAGAAAUUUUUGUGGAUUUGGCAGCUUAAUAUUUCUCACACUGUUGCCGUAUCACCAUAACGGUCGUUUUGUAAUUCAGGGCGAUAGCCGCAACUCAUUGGUAUGUGAAGAAGGUUGUUCUCAAGUACGAUUGAAGCUUAUAUUGAAAAGAUUCAACAAAAUAAGGACUAUAUGAUUCACUUUUCCGAUCAAAAUUUUGGUAGCCAAUCUCUUAUCUCACUAAGUUGGGUUCAGCCGUGGGCCAACCAGAGAUGUAUUGGAUAGACGCUUGAUUCCGUUGAAAAGUGGUCAUCCAUCACGGUACAACCGGUACUAACAUACAUUUGGUGAGAAGGUUGGCAAGCGUUUACUCAACUUGCCAAUUAAGGUCUCCUCCUCCAGUGCCACCCAAAGCUGUCGAGAGAAUAGCUAUUGCCCAUGUUUGACAAUCACUUUUGUGCAAGUUUUCUUACAUCUUCAUUAUCCCGGUACCACCCCUUCCAACGUGGUGAUGGCAACAUUAUCGUAUGAACUAAAGGAUGGGCCACUCGUUAAGACAAGUGUUCAUUUGUUGUACGAAGUAAUAGGUGUCCCAACGUACCAUGACAGAAUUUAGAGGCAAUAUUGGAUUAGAUUUGUAUUUUUAAUGUUCGUCUUUUUUUUGUAUAUUACAUGUCUCUUCUUCCCUUAACAGGCCUAAAAAUCAAUAUUUUGAUCCAUAUUUUUUAGAUACUUUUGUAAAUUUUAUAAAGUAAAUGUCGCCCAAAAUCUAUACUUAAAAAAUAAACAAAAAGCAUUACAGUUAUAAAAAAUGAUACACAAAUAAAAAAAUAAUCAAAACAAAGAAACAACAGUAAAAAUACUACAACACAAAAUUGAAAAAACAAAAAAAAAAAAAAGCGAAAACAAUAGAAAAAACCGAGAGAGAGAGAGAGAGAGAGAGAGAUAUAUAGAGAGUAGUGGGGUUUUGGAACCGUGGACAAGGUAGUAAAUGAAAAUAGAGGAAAAAGGGGGGGUAAUUUUAUUUUUGGGUGUUCUUGCCGUAAUGUAUUUUUUCAUGGGGGGCGCGUAGCGCGUCUCCCCCUACUACUCCAAAGUCUUCCGUAUCUUGUCAAGUCUCGACUGCGGAUGAUGACGGACGAUACGAGCCAACAACCAUCCGCCAACCUCGACGUCAAUAUUACUACUUGCAUUAUGUUUUUGUUUUUAUUAUUUAUUACUUAUGUCCGUUUAGGUACUAGCAUUUUGAAUUUUUUUAUAAUUUUAAUAUUUUUUUUUUUAACCGUUUUAAUAUGAUACUUUUUAUGUUCUUACUAAACCAAGUAUUUUAAAAAUCUAAUUUUUUUUUGCCAAAUUUACAAAAAAAAAAUUCUAUUUCUACUCGAUCAAUAACUAUUUUUUUAUCUAUAUAAUCUUUUUUUUUCCUAUUUUUGAAAAAAAAAUAUAUUUCAGAUUUUGCUUGUCAAUUUUAAUCCAAAAAAGUAAACAUUUAAUAUCAACAAUAAAAAAGUCUAUUAAAGAUAAAAAAAAACCAAAAAACAAAGCAAUUACAAUUGAUUAAAAAAGGUAUCUCAUACUUGAUGUUGUUUGGCGUAACUGAAUGUAUGUUAAAUUGCUUAUAUAAAUGUAAAAAUUCAAAAACUUUUAAAAUAAAUUUAAUUAACCUAAAAUAAUACACUACGUUUUUUUUUUGGAUUUCCACCUUUAAUCAAAAAAAAAAAUUAUAUACCAAAUUUCAUACAUAAUGAUGUCGUUCACGUAGAUAUUUCAUUUUAAACAAAAUAACCCGUAAAAGCAACUUUUAUUUAUAAUAAUGCAUUGCUAAGUCUUAUGCAAUAUAUUUUUUUUGACAUGAAAAUUAUCCACUAUAUCCAAAAAUUGCCAUCAAAAUCACUGAUAAUGGUAUUCCUCGAAAAUAUACACACCUUUUCUGUUUGUUCCAUUUUUCAGUUGGCUUUUUUAAUUUUUAAUAAGCAAAAACUACUUAAAAAAAGACACCUAAUUUACUUUUUUAUUUUAUUUAUUUUUAGCUAAAGUAAGCUAUAAAAGCAAAAAAAAAAACUAAAAAAAUUUAAUUUUUUUUGCCUCCUCCCUUUUCCCCCCCUCUCUGCCUUUCCGCCCUUCACCCCACCGGCGCCUUAAUCCUUUGCCUCGCGUCUUCCUUCCCCCUCCUCCCCUGGCUUUCCUCAUUCCGCCUCCCCUUUUUCCCCACGUUUCUAUUGCAUGGAUCCAGGACUUUGGCUGGACAAGUCAGGCGUACUUUUUUUGGCAUUAGUUGAGGGGUAGCACGGACUAAUUAUGGGUGAAGGUGAGGGGAUGAUUCUGCAGGACCAUCCAUGAGGACUUACCAUGUCGCCUCCAUUCAUUAUAUAUGCAUGUGGCUAGACGAGAAUACUUACUAUAUAAUUUUAGGUAUUUCAAUAAUUAUGUUUUUGGUGAUUUGACGAUGGGAAUAGAUUCAUGAUGGUAUCCUUCACAUUAAUAUAAUAGAAUAAAACAAUUUAUAUGUUUGUGUUUUUAUUGUUAAUCACUCCUAAAUGUUUCAUAACAAAAAUAAAUAAAUUUUAUUUUCAUUAGCACUAUUCUUUGAAUUUUUUUAUUUUGCUUUUUUAUUUUGUGUAAAAGCUUAUGUAGAUUUGUAUGAAAUGAAAUGAAAAUAGUUUUCUUACACUUCACAUCUUAAAGUACAAUCUACCUUUUUUAUUUUUAACAAAAAACCCACUUCCAUGUAUGAUUCCUGUUACUACUCUUCUUUGCUUAACAUGUGAGGUGGUUUUUAAUUUUAACUACUAACGGGCUUCUGUUUGGCACCCAGUUUUUUUUUAGUUUUUUUUUUUUUUUCUUUUUUUUUUUUUUUGUUCUCUUGACUUUUGACUAAAAUACUACACAAUCAAUCAGAGUUGGCUUUUUUAUUUUUCCUUCCGGAUUUUGCUUUUUUUACUUAGUUUUAGUAUCUAAGUAAAGUCCACAACAGCAAAAAAUUCCAAUUCUUAACUUUUUUAGGCUCGUCCCUUUUCCACACCCCCCCUUCAUUUUUUCGCCUUCCCCCCCGUCUCCUCCCGCCCACCCCCCUCCCCUUCUUGUUCUCCCCCCUCGUGUGCACUCCCAUCCCUCUUCAAACUAAAAACUAUGGUUAGUCUGCUUUGCGACUUGGACUCAUAAACCCCUUGCUUUGUUUGGCCCAUGGUUGACGAAAAUGGGCCUUGACUUUACUAGAAUGGAACAGGACAAUUGGGGAGAGGUUAUGAAUAACUUGCUUGUGCAUCAUUGUCUGAAUUUGUUGGCAUCAUUUUCUGUAUUUGCUUUUAUCAUUUGUAUCAGUGUCUGAAUUUGCUGUAAUUAGAUUGUUCGACUAUUUUGUGAGCUUUGUUCUAAAAAUCCCCUCUUAGACUCCCCGCCUAGGCCAUAGCCCCCCCGGCCGCCGCCCAGGUAACGCCUAGAUGGGAAAGCCCUUCCGCCCGCCUGCUUAAUGCCCUACGUUUUUUAGAUACCAGUUUUUAAAUUUUAUUGUAUUUUAGAGACCUAAAUUGCCAUUUCUAUCUUUUUCUUUAUAUUAUCAACAUUAAACACGUGAACUUUAACUAUUUAGAUAUCAUUUUUUUGUUAAAACUUUGAAUAUUUUGGUUAUUUUAUUAUUAUUUUAGUAACUAUUCCUUAUUAAACUCCACUAUACCUACUCAUAACAAAAACGCCUAAAGACCUCGCUUAGCCCCCCCUAGAGGCCCCUGACCGCCCCAUUUUUUUUUUUUUUUUUACCACCGCCUAGCGAUUUUUAAGAACCUUGGUUGUGAGACUGAGAAGAUGUUGAGAGUUCACGGAUAACUUGGCCAAGGUUUUAAAACGGAGAAUAGAGCUUUGGUGAUUUUUUUAAUCAUGGAGCAACUUUAUGCUAAUGGCUAAUGGGUUUUAAGGGUCUUUCAAUAAUUUUUGCUAAUACCAAUUUUGCGGAAAAUAAUGCAUGCUUGGUGCCAAAAUCUUUUUUUGUGGUGGUAAUGGGUAUAAGUGAAAUUCUCAAAGUAUAAGGGGGUGUAGUGAACCACCAUCAUAUAUUUGACGAGAAACAUAUCGUUCUCACUUAUCAAUAGU